CAAAGACAUUGUUUGUUGUGAGUAUAGCAAAUAAUUUCUGCCCACUGCGGGUUAUGGUAAAGGGCUGCGGUAUUUUGACUGUAUAAAGGUAGCAUAAUCAUUAGUUUUUUAAUUGGGGACUGGUAUGAAGAGUGAACGGGGAAGUGAUAUAUUUAUGAAAUUAAUUGAAUUUUAUAUUUAUGUGAAAAAUCAUAAGUAGAAUUAUAGGACAAGAAGACCCUAAUAAGUUUUAUAGACGUUUUAAAAAAGUAUAUUGGAUAAAAAAAGUAAUGUAAAAGAAAGAAAAGAUUUUAUUAAUAUGAUUUUAUUAUGUUGGUUUGGCUGGGGCAGUAAGUUUAUAAACAAAACUUUUUAUUUAAUUUAGAUUAGGCGAUUUUUUGAUCUGGAGUGAUCAAUUAGAAGAUUAAUUACUUUAGGGAUAACAGCGUUAUCAGUCUUAAGAGUUCUUAUCAUAAGAGUGGUUUGCGACCUCGAUGUUGGAUUAAGAUGGAGCAUUGGCGCAGUAGUUGAUGAAUUGUCGU
rnacentral:rRNA from 1 species